GGGGAUAUGGCGAAAUUGGUAGACGCUACGGACUUAAAAUCCGUCGACUUUAAAAAUCAUGAGGGUUCAAGUCCCUCUAUCC
rnacentral:tRNA from 1 species